GCCCGGAUGGCCCAGCGGUUACGGCGAUGGAUUGCUAAUCCAUUUUCCUCACGGAUUCCCAGGUUCAAAUCCUGGUCCGGGCG
rnacentral:tRNA from 1 species